CACACACACACCCACACACUUGUCGAGCUUGGGGCUUAUCCUCAAGCUGGGGGUAGCUUUGUUAGUGCUGAGUCGAAUGGAAGACUCGAGAGUUUUCUUUCCGGCCUUUCCAUGAAUAAUGUGGCCCUAGUCCAAGGCCUUUGGCCCAUGUCAGCCUGGGGAAAUCUCUGAGCUCACUCAGAUUUUCAGAAUCCAAGCUGCUUCCUGCUGGGCCACGGUCCAGCUCAUUGCUCCUCCAGGAAGCCAAAUCUGCCUGGGACUCCUUCAGCCUUCCAUCUCCUCUGGCACGGUCGACGUGGCAGCCACCUCCUGGCUGUAUGGUCUCGAUUAGUCAUUCCACCUUGGCUCCAUCUCCCUUCUAGUAACUUUCCACCCACAUGAUCGCCCCCCCUCCCCACCUCCCGCACCUUCCUGAGUCUGGCCGACCUGGGAGCACAUGCUCACUCGCUCACUCGUUCCUUCACUAUCACUCCAGCCGCUGGAACACGCACCCACUCACGAAGCUCAGCAGUGCUGAUGAAAUGUUCUCCCCGAGGAACCCCUAGGGAGAAAGUGUUUUCAUCUCCCAAGGGUUUCGGGGUAUCUGCCUGAUGCAGCCUCUGCAGUCGCCGGUGGUCAUCAGCGCCAAAUUUGGCCAGAAAAAACACAUCAAGUAAGAUAAGAACUGACAGGGGCCAUUGGAUUUAGUCAUUAAGGGGUCACUGGUAACCGUAGUGAGCACGAUUUCCAGAGGAGGGAAUGGAAAGGAAGUGGAGACGGGGUGGGUGCUGAAAGGAGGGGCAUGGGACGAUGGAACUGGAGAGAUCUUAUGAGAAUGUGGCAUCUGCAGAGGCCUCUGAAGGAGACUUUGACAGGCAGAGAUAGAUAGGCGUGGGGGCAGACUGGUGAGGUCAUUCUGGGUGAAGGGAAUGUCAUGAGCAGGAAAUCAGGAGGCAUGCGCAGCUUAUCUGGCCUUGGAGUAAGUCCCCUCCGCCCUUCUGCAAUGUGGGUGGUGGGGUGGACGUUGCAGCGGUAUCCUCCAAGGAAUUUUCCAGCUUUGGGUUUUUUUGGUUUACCAUGGCCUGGGACUGGUGACAGGGUUAGGCCUUGGGGGCUGGGGGUUUGGGAGCUGUUGGGGCAGCUUCAGGAGGGCGUCAGCAGCCCUGGCUAAACUCCUUCUAUAGAGAGGAAGGGGCAGGGCCAGGCCCUGAGUGGGUUUAGCCCUGCCUUCAGAGCCUGUUUCCUGGGAAGAAUAUGCCGUCUGCUUGGAGAGUGUGGUCUAGACUCUACAGCAGUGGUUCUUAGAGUAUGCUGUCCACACCAGCAGCACCCGCAGCAUCUGGAAAGGCCAGACUCUCAGGUGUGCCCCAGAUCUGCUGAAUCUGAAACUGGGGGUGGGGCUCAGAAUGUGCAUUUCUGACAAAUACUCAGGUGCUGCUGCUGGUCAGGGAGCAGCCUUUGGGAAGCACUGGCUUAGAGGCGCUGUACUUUCCUUUUGCCAUGAGUAAGGGUGAACUCUGGCACUAGCAGGACCGGCCUGCUCUGAGUUCCCAGAGUGGUGGUCAGGGCUUACUCGAGGCUGCUACACCCUGGCUGAGGCUCUCCCUGGGAGGGGGUGCCUCUCCUGAAGACAAAGAAGUGAGGUUCCAGGACUGGCACUAGGGCAAACCUCCUCAGGGUCAUGGCAGGUCCUUGGCAACCUGCUUAGUGGCCAAGGAGGUACUCUGUCUCUUUGCAGGUGUGUAACCUUGGGCAGGUAACCAACAUCUCACGGCCUCAGUGUCCCCACCGUGAAGUGGAUUUACAUGGACCUCAGUUGCUUUGAGGAUCUGUCACCAGGGAGCCCUGAAUCGCUAGGUGCCAAGCAUCCAUCUCAGUCCUUACUGAGUUCUCUGAUGCAUCUGGGACAGCUGAUGGACCAUCCCUUCUAGAAAAGCUGCCCUCAAUUUCCAUCGCACCCCUUCCUGGAAGUCCUUCAACCACUCUGUUUCUUCUUUGUCUCCACCACGCACUCCUCCUCCUUCUCUCACCCUUCAGGGAUGCUGACCCCAGGGCCCUGUCCUCAGCCACUGCUCUUCUCUUCCAGGGUAGUUUCCUCAGUGAACUGCAUCUGCCCCGUGGCUUCAACCUGCACUCAACCGAGCCCUGGCCCAGACCUCUCCUCAGAGCUGCUGGCCUUUCUUUACAUCGGCCCAGUCCACAGUCCACUUGGAUGUUCCACAGGCAUCUCAAACCCAGCAAGUUUGAGAUCACCUGCGCUGAUGAGGUUCCCGCAAAGCUCUCCUGUGCCCGUGCUCCCCUCCCUUGAGAAGUGUCCACCUCUUAUAGAAAAUUAUAGGAGAAGGUGAGAAAUUAGAAAUGGAGAAAGAAGAAAACAAAGUUUCCACAGUCCCAGCACACAGAAGCAACUACCUUGACUAUUGGGGUGUAUGCCUCCCAGCCUUCCUUCUAUGCUUUUAAUAUUCCAUUUUCCCCACUUAACAUUCUAGCAUAAGAAUGUUCCCAUGUUAUUACGAAUUCUGCAUAACUUAUUAUUUUAAAGCUAUUUGGAACAGAUAGCACAUUCCAACUGUACAAAAGGGGAUUUGGUAAAAAGUAAAUCUCCCUCCCACCCCUGACCCCCGAGUCAUCCAGUUCCUUUCCCUAAGCAGCUGCCAUUCCUGGUCAUUUGCAUAUCUGUCUAAGGAUAUCUGUGCCCACACAAGAGCACCUGCAAUGCCACCCACACCUUUUUUACUCAUAAAUUAGCACACCAUGCACCCUGUUCUACACCUUCUCUUUUUUCAUUUA